rnacentral:lncRNA from 1 species
UCGGUAAAGUCAGUGCGUCACUGCAGCUGGAUAGAAACAGUCAGCGUUCUGAGACGUUUCUACUUAGCGUUCAAAAUCCCUGUUCCGGCACACUCAGUUCUCAUGGCUGGUUUGGGAUCUAAUGGAUGACGUAAUUGCUUGGCGGUGGGGGCCAGUUACUGCCCUGCUUUCCCUUUCAUCACUAACACUCUUUCAGCAGCUGUGGUUCACUCGCUGGGUGCCUCAGUGCUGAUUACGUUGACUCUGAGAAGCCAGAAUGACACAGAUCUCACCCACUAUGGAGACUCUUUGUCUGGGUGGUGGCUGCUAUGGAAACACUGGCAGAAUGAGUGAAGGUUAGAGAAAUACUGAUAACUGAAUAUGGAAUUAAUAAUGCAGGGUUAUGCAAGGCCAAGUCUUACUUUCAGGCUGUGAGGUGUUCAGUUCACACUGACGUGUGGCAUUUCUACAUAUCUAUGUUGAUUAUAUGGAUGGCAGUGUAGAUAU